CCUACGGGUGGCAGCAGUGAGGAAUAUUGGUCAAUGGGCGCGAGCCUGAACCAGCCAAGUAGCAUGAAGGAUGACUGCCCUACGGGUUGUAAACUUCUUUUAUAAAGGAAUAAAGUGAGGCACGUGUGCCUUUUUGUAUGUACUUUAUGAAUAAGGAUCGGCUAACUCCGUGCCAGCAGCCGCGGUAAUACGGAGGGGGCAAGCGUUGUUCGGAAUUACUGGGCGUAAAGGGUGUGUAGGCGGGAAAGUAAGAUAGUGGUGAAAUGCCUGAGCUCAACGUGGGAACUGCCAUUAUAACUAUUUGUCUAGAGUGACAGAGAGGAUAUUGGAAUACCCAGGGUAGAGGUGAAAUUCGUAGAUAUUGGGUAGAACACCGGAGGCGAAGGCGAGUAUCUGGCUGUCAACUGACGCUGAGGCACGAAAGCAUGGGGAUCAAACAGGAUUAGAUACCCCUGUAGUC
rnacentral:rRNA from 1 species